rnacentral:lncRNA from 1 species
UUCAUACUAAAAUUUAGUCCCAUUAUAAGUAGAUUAGAGAGCUCUGGCCCAAAUAGUUUAAUAGCUUUGCCCAAGGUGUCAGGGACUUGGGUACAAACCCAAACACACAAACAUAAUUCAGGAGAGUCAAGUUCUAGCCACAAGUGGGAGCUAUUAGAUUAUUUAGACAUGCUAAGGCAUGCUAGUUUGGUUUUUUUCCCCUAAACUAAGAGAGAAUACUAAUCACAUUGUGAGAAAAGUAGAAUUUCUGUACUUCAGUGCCCUCUCUAAUGAAAAUAUUUUGACUUUUUAUAGAUAAUACUUCAAUGCAUUCUCAUCAAACACAACCAUCAUAAAGAAAAAACCUUUAAUAGAAAUUGAACAAAAACAGAAAAAUUAGCUCAUAUUCCAUAAUCUGUAAAAGUUCUACCUUAAAUUGAAGAUAUAAACUUAUGUAUAAAAGUGUGUAAUUUCCGCAUCAUUGCAGCUAUUUUUAGCCUCUUCUUGCAAUCCAUUUCUUAUCUCCAUUGUGUCCAGUUUGUGAAAAUGAGGAGUGCAGAAGGAAAAAGAAAGUGGCAGAGAGUCUUUAUAAAGAAUCUGAGGGAUCCAAAUUUGAGGGAUGGAGGACUACUUGCUCCCCUUCUUGAUGAAAUUAACUUUAUAAAGAAAAUACUGGAGAAAUAAGCAAAAAAAAGAAAGAGUGAUUAUCUUUGGGUAUUUGAAAAUGAGUAAAAAUUUCUGUUUGGUUUUUUUUUUUCUUGAGUAUGUAUUUAUUUUAAUUGAAAAGCUUUAUUUUUAAAAGUAAACAUCAAAUUUCAAAAUAUUGCAAAAAUUCCUAGCAAAGUCCAUAAAAGAUGGUAAAUUUCCAUGACUAUUCCCUUCUGGAUUCUUCCCUAGCAGUGUCAAUAAGUACAUCGCUUAUAGGGUAAGAUUGAAGGCUGUGGUUUACUGAGCAGAAUCCUGCCUCAACUUCGUAGUAUGAAUCUUUGCUGGUGACACCAACCAUUACUUGACUUCAUUCAAUGUCUCAAGAUUAAUUAAAUUGUGAUCAACUGUGUAAGAUUCAUAUGGUGAAUUGCACAUAAUUCUGAGAGCAUUCCUGUGAAACUGUGCUUUACUACAGAAAAAUUAUUCAGAGCAACAAUAAUUUCAGUUAUGUAAUUACAUAUUAAUUGAAUAAUAAUAGUGAAAUAAUAAUAAUAUCUAAUAUAGAUUCUAAUACUGGUUUGAUUAGCUAU